UGAACAGCCAUCCCCGCCAUCCCAGUGUUCAGACUACCUGUUCAGGAGGCUGGGACAUGUACAGUAGUCUGCACAUUGGUUAGGCUGGGCUUGGGCCAGCA
rnacentral:pre_miRNA from 7 species